CAAGCAACACUAUUAACCAAAUUUCACUCAGAAUAGUUUUUUCGUUAGCAAUGUUUAAUCGUUGGGUACAAAUAUACAUUAUAUUUCCCCUCUACCAUCCCAACUUUUCACCUACAAUAGUGGCCCACCAAUAUGUCCGUCAUUUUAACAGUUGAAUAUAACACUGUAUGUUAUCUUAUGAGUUACAUAACACAAUAGUACUGUUAAUAACACUGAAAUAAAUAUAUGAAUUUAAACUGUUUAUAAAUGUGUGUAGUUUGU